CUACGGGUUGCUGCAGUGGGGAAUAUUGCACAAUGGGCGCAAGCCUGAUGCAGCCAUGCUGCGUGUAUGAAGAAGGCCUUCGGGUUGUAAAGUACUUUCAGCGGGGAGGAAGGGAGUAAAGUUAAUACCUUUGCUCAUUGACGUUACCCGCAGAAGAAGCACCGGCUAACUCCGUGCCAGCAGCCGCGGUAAUACGGAGGGUGCAAGCGUUAAUCGGAAUUACUGGGCGUAAAGCGCACGCAGGCGGUUUGUUAAGUCAGAUGUGAAAUCCCGGGCUCAACCUGGGAACUGCAUCUGAUACUGGCAAGCUUGAGUCUCGUAGAGGGGGGUAGAAUUCCAGGUGUAGCGGUGAAAUGCGUAGAGAUCUGGAGGAAUACCGGUGGCGAAGGCGGCCCCCUGGACGAAGACUGACGCUCAGGUGCGAAAGCGUGGGGAGCAAACAGGAUUAGAUACCCUUGUAGUC
rnacentral:rRNA from 1 species